UACGGAGGAUGCGAGCGUUAUCCGGAUUUAUUGGGUUUAAAGGGUGCGCAGGCGGCCUGUUAAGUCAGCGGUAAAAGCCCGGGGCUCAACCCCGGCGAGCCGUUGAAACUGGCGGGCUGGAGUUGGAGAGAAGUACGCGGAAUGCGCGGUGUAGCGGUGAAAUGCGUAGAUAUAUGGAAGAACACCAGUGGCGAAGGCGGCUGUCUGGUCUGCAACUGACGCUGAGGUUCGAAAGCAUGGGUAGCGAACAGG
rnacentral:rRNA from 1 species